rnacentral:rRNA from 1 species
UACCAGCACCCCGAGUGGUCGGGACGAUUAUUGGGCCUAAAGCAUCCGUAGCCGGUCCUGCAAGUCUUCCGUUAAAUCCAGCUGCUCAACAGAUGGGCUGCGGAGGAUACUACAGGGCUAGGAGGCGGGAGAGGCAAGCGGUACUUUAUGGGUAGGGGUAAAAUCCGUUGAUCCAUAGAAGACCACCAGUGGCGAAGGCGGCUUGCCAGACGCGCUCGACGGUGAGGAUGAAAGCUGGGGGAGCAAACCGG